UAGAGGCUCUUGACGUCAGGCGUUACCUAGUACCACAAAAAAGACAGGCUAUUCAUGGAGCUAGGAGAAAAGCAGCCUAAUUUCCUGGGAAAAGCAAAGCCGAAUUCUGUUCCCUGAUUGGACGCACCACUGGUUUUUCAUAUGAGUGUCACGGAAACCGGUCUCGGAUGAAGAACUUAUGACAUUGCGAGUGCUACGGCUUAACGGGGAGUUCAGAGGCGGGUUUGCACAACAAACAGAUGUUCUUUGAUGUCAGCUGCAGUGAGGGGGAGGCAAAAAAUGGGAACGCUGAAAAGUAGGAGGAGGAAGGUGUCAGAACUCUAAUCACCAUGCAUCGCUCAGAAAGAAAUCUAUUGUAUCUCUUAGCUCAAACACUGGCUUUGAGUCACAGUUACAACGCCGGCUCGCGGAUCCAGAGAAGCUAAAUUACACCGGCUGUCAACCAACCCUACGUGGAGCUCCGUUCAGGCUUGUAAUAAAUUAUGUAAAAGAGCCUAACAGCAAGAAAAUGGCCGUGCCAUUUACUGUCACUUCAGAGAAUUUGUAUCAUGACAUUUCACGAACGCUUGGCCAAUUAUACUUGGAUAGAUCUAUUGCAUAAACUAAAUAAUAGUUUCUCCACUCCAGCUAUCUGACUUAGUUAUUCAUUAAACCACCCACAUCACAAGUGCACAGUACGGCUCAGGAUAAGUACUCCAUGAACAGCUCAUUUAGGUUAGAGAGUGUGUGUGUCAGCACUGUGUAGAAGUUAUAGACCCACAUGCCUACAAAACCAGAAGUAUUUUCCAAAACACAUAACAUAUCUUCACAAUUGAUUUCCACUGCAGUCAACCCAGUGUAAAAGAGCACUGGUGUUUGUUAUGCUAUCAUAUUACAACAAAUCUGUGUAAUAUCUAUAUUUUUUCCAUUUGAAACUAAUUCAUGUUCAUCCGUUGACCGCAUGAUUCAUUUUAAAUUUGUAUUCAUACUAAUAUAAUUCAAAUACACGUCCACAAUUUGAAUUCAGAAAUGCACCUUAUCAGCCACCUCUCUGAAUCUUUUGAGAUGCUAUCCUAGACCUUUUACACUACUACAAAUACAGGAUGGAAAAAUGUAUGACACCUUUCAGUUUGGCCUAAGAUCAUAACAGGAUAUGGAGGCACGCUGUUUAAAGUCUCUCUAGUUCAGACUCAUUUCCAAUACUAACGGAUGUUGCUCAACAGUUUCAACUGCAAUACUGGUUACAGUUUAUUCAGACCUCCAUUCGCUGACUGACAUUUAAGCUUUAACUAGUCAGCUGCCUUCGUGAUGGAAGGACUGUCAUAAGGUGCAAUAAAAAAAACUCAAACACAUAACUAUCUGACACUGAGGGUGUGACGUGUCAAGACAUGUAGGCAUUACCAUUGUCUAGGCUGAAGUACUGUAUGGUAUCUUAUCUUGACAAUAACAAAGAGGAAAUCUCCCUUCAGUAACUAAACAGUUCGCCCAUAAUAAAUGAAAAAUCAUUUACUCAUGAUACUCCAAUCUAUAAGUAUUUUUUCUGUUUAAAAUGU